rnacentral:tRNA from 1 species
GGGGGUGUAGCUCAGUUGGGAGAGCGUCGCGUUCGCAAUGCGAAGGUCAUCGGUUCGAUCCCGUUCACCUCCACAA